rnacentral:rRNA from 1 species
CAAUAGCGUAUAUUAAAGUUGUUGCAGUUAAAAAGCUCGUAGUUGGAUUUCUGGUGGGAGCGAUCGGUCUGGCGCUUAGCACGAGUACUUGCAUCGUCUCCGGCCAUCCUUGGGGAGAGUCUGUCUGGCAUUAGGUUGUCGGGCAGAGGAUCCUCAUCGUUUACUGUGAAAAAAUUAGAGUGUUCAAAGCAGGCUUAUGCCGUUGAAUAUAUUAGCAUGGAAUAAUAAGAUAGGACUUUGGUACUAUUUUGUUGGUUUGCGCACCAAAGUAAUGAUUAAUAGGGACAGUUGGGGGUAUUCGUAUUCCGUUGUCAGAGGUGAAAUUCUUGGAUUUACGGAAGACGAACUACUGCGAAAGCAUUUACCAAGGAUGUUUUCAUUAA